UAUAUAUAUGCUGCAUGAAAACUGCUUGAAGAGGAAAGUACCUACUAGUGAACAGGGCAGUGAUAAAAAUAAUGGAGCUCAUAAUGGAUGAUCACACUACUCAUGAAAUUUGAUAUUUUGUAACUAAGUAUAUAGAAGUAGAUAUGUGACACUUGUUGGAAUGACAAUUCUUAUUUACUUGUUAUGACUA